GGCUACGUGAUCACGGACGAGCGGCGCCGACAGGUGUGGCACUGUUUGUUUCCGCCUUCAUUGCGGUUGGAGCGGGGCCGAAAAACGCUCCCUAAAUAAGGGUAAGGGCCCAGCUGCUUCAUGCUUCUAUUGGUCAACAACAAACAACGGACAACUUUCGUUAUUAUGCACUGGUCCAUAAAAACACAACAAACAACGAACGGCCCAGGAAGAAGUAGCGACAAUAUAGAACGACCACACCUUUUAUACACAGAUGGAUGACGUCAUGCGAAUGAGACCAAUUUAUAUUUUAUUCAGAUGAGUUCUAGGCACUCCCUAUUUGUAUUACAGAGUUGAACCAAUGCGUGAUCGUUGUAUUCUGUAAAAAAAAGCGUGAUCGUUGUAUACGUUCUCAAAUUUGUACUUAUCGUAUCGGCUUGGGUUUCUUGUUA